UACGUAGGGUGCGAGCGUUAAUCGGAAUUACUGGGCGUAAAGCGUGCGCAGGCGGUAAGUUAAGUCUGAUGUGAAAGCCCCGGGCUCAACCUGGGAAUGGCAUUGGAAACUGGCUUGCUGGAGUGUGGCAGAGGGGGGUGGAAUUCCGCGUGUAGCAGUGAAAUGCGUAGAUAUCGGAAGGAACAUCAGUGGCGAAAGCGACUUCCUGGACCAGUACCGACGUUCAGGCACGAAAGCGUGGGGAGCAAACAGG
rnacentral:rRNA from 1 species